CCUACGGGCGGCUGCAGUGGGGAAUAUUGCACAAUGGGCGCAAGCCUGAUGCAGCCAUGCCGCGUGUGUGAAGAAGGCCUUCGGGUUGUAAAGCACUUUCAGCGGGGAGGAAGGCGGUGAGGUUAAUAACCUCAUCGAUUGACGUUACCCGCAGAAGAAGCACCGGCUAACUCCGUGCCAGCAGCCGCGGUAAUACGGAGGGUGCAAGCGUUAAUCGGAAUUACUGGGCGUAAAGCGCACGCAGGCGGUCUGUCAAGUCGGAUGUGAAAUCCCCGGGCUCAACCUGGGAACUGCAUUCGAAACUGGCAGGCUAGAGUCUUGUGGAGGGGGGUGGAAUACCAGGUGUAGAGGUGAAGUGCGUAGAGAUCUGAAGGAAUACAGAUGGCGAAGGCGGCCCCCGGGACAAAGACUGACGCUCAGGUGCGAAAGCGUGGGGAGCGAACAGAAUUAGAUACCCCUGUAGUC
rnacentral:rRNA from 1 species